rnacentral:tRNA from 1 species
GGGUUGUGGCUCAGUGGUAGAGUGCUUGCCUGGCAUGUGUGAGGCCCUGAGCUCAAUCCUUAGCUCUG